rnacentral:rRNA from 1 species
AUUGAACGCUGGCGGCAGGCCUAACACAUGCAAGUCGAACGAGUGGCGGACGGGCGAGUAAUGUCUGGGAAACUGCCCGAUGGAGGGGGAUAAAUAAUGGAAACGGUAGCUAAUAACGUAUCCCAUCGGAUGGGCCCAGAUGGGAAUCGCUUGUAGGUGGGGUAACGGCUCACCUAGGCGACGAUCCCUAGCUGGUCUGAGAGGAUGACCAGCCACACUGGAACUGAGACACGGUCCAGACUCCUACGGGAGGCAGCAGUGGGGAAUAUUGCACAAUGGGCGCAAGCCUGAUGCAGCCAUGCCGCGUGUAUGAAGAAGGCCUUCGGAUUGUAAAGUACUUUCAGCGGGGAGGCGUUACCCGCAGAAGAAGCACCGGCUAACUCCGUGCCAGCAGCCGCGGUAAUUC